GGAGAAAGUUGCAUCCCAUAGUCAUGAUGAACCAGCUAAGCCAGCUGCCAUUUUGCAGAAAUCGGCAGAAUUUUUUUGUGCACGUGACCAAAGGAAAGAGUCAACUAUCUAUUUUUUUGUAUUGGAGGUUUCUGAGAAGCAUGGACAAGUUGAAACAUCUGGACAGCAGUACUCCUUCAAGGUUUUGCGCAUACUGAAUGAACAAAGUGGAGAAGAGCGAGUUUUGCAAUUGACGGAUGAGUGGU